UCAACAGAUACGCAUGAAGAUAGAACUACUCUACUCCUACUCAGGAUACUAAGUGUGCAAACAACGAGUAGAGUAUAACGAAUAAACAAGGGUGUAAGGCUCAAUAUAUUAUGCGAUAGUAACAACAGAAGAGUAAGGGUAAGAAACCAUCACCAAGCGUGCACCACUGUACCGACGUCGGGUCGAAGUACUCACCUGUACGGAUGUCGCGUCUGUCUCCUGACUGCAAAAGAAUGUCGACAGGACCUAUAGAGGGUCCACCAGGUUAGUAUCUAACCCACAACUAAUAAUCACAGUAUCCACAACCCCACAAACGAUUCCACGAAGAUCGGUUUCCCAAUACCGAUUACCGUAACUCACCGAAAGUCUCGAAAACCACAUCGGGACGUCGUCGGGACCCACUAAGUGUCCCGAACUCACCGACUCGUGCCACGAGUCACCCGCUGCCCCAAAGCACUCCAAUUUGGAUGCCUUGGCAGCGAACACGAGGUAACACAACCAUAUGAUCAUCGCCGGAUAAUCGUACGAAUCCGGGUUCCCGGAAGUAUCUAUUUCGACACCGGAACCCACCGUCGCUCACCCAUCAUCAUCGAACCCACAAAAUGAUGAUGGUGACCAGCCAACAAGGCUCAGUGACAAAACACAAAGCAACCAAACACCGUCGGAAAGAAUCCGAACCGAAAUCGCGUUCUUUCGGCGAAUUUCGCCGAAAAACGCACCGAAAUCGACCUACCGAUUUCCGCGAAAGCUAACAGACCAUGGACAAUCAGUCCAGCGGUC
rnacentral:lncRNA from 1 species